rnacentral:rRNA from 1 species
GAUGAACGCUGGCGGCGUGCCUAAUACAUGCAAGUCGAGCGAACGGACGAGAAGCUUGCUUCUCUGAUGUUAGCGGCGGACGGGUGAGUAACACGUGGAUAACCUACCUAUAAUACUGGGAUAACUUCGGGAAACCGGAGCUAAUACCGGAUAAUAUUUUGAACCGCAUGGUUCAAAAGUGAAAGACGGUCUUGCUGUCACUUAUAGAUGGAUCCGCGCUGCAUUAGCUAGUUGGUAAGUUAACGGCUUACCAAGGCAACGAUGCAUAGCCGACCUGAGAGGGUGAUAGCCGACCCUGGAGCUGGGCCGCCGUCCUGACUCCUACGGGAGGCAGCAGUCGGGUAUCUGCCGCAGUGGGCGAAAGCCUUACGGAGCAACGCCGCGUGAGUGAUGGCGAUGUUCGGAUCGUAAAGAUCUGUUAUUAGGGAAGAACAUAUGUGUAAGUAACUGUGCCCAGCGUGACGGUACCUAAUCAGAAAGCAACGGCUAACUACGUG